AUAAACUUUCGUUUUGAUUUCGACACUGGAAAUAUUGUUAUUAUUAAGUUUUAAUAUAAUAAUUUUAAAGAUUUUCAAAACUUUUAAAGAGUACUGCAGAAUGCAACAAUAUGCUUGAAUUUGUUUACGUCCUCGUUAGCACAUUCGUGUGCAGACUGAAAAAAAUGGCGAAAAAUAUUGUCCGAAUGCAAUUACCAAUAGGACAGACGGCAACUAUUAAUAGACUAGCUGAUUUGGGUAGACGAAAGUGCACAACAGCAACAUUUACCCCAAAAUUUAGUCAAGCUGUUCCAUCCCCAUCCACGACCAUCGAUAGUUUUCCAGCUCUGAUAUGAAUACAAACUGUAUCUAAAUACAAACUCAAUAAAGAACACAACAAUUAACAGGCAUUGAAUAUCGGGAAUUUUGGAUGGUGCUUGUAUUAGGGCCGGUUGUUCAAUGUCUGGUUUUCACAAAUCGGAGGGAGAAGCUCCGGUUAAA